UUGAGAGACUAACAACACCUGAGAUGAUUCAGAGUAACAGCCGAGUUAGUGUGUAUUCGCAAAAGAAAAGGAGGACUUGUGGCACCUUAGAGACU